CCGUCAAGCACUUCCGCCUCCAGGAAGGCUGCGGCCCCGCCCCAGGGUCUGGCCAGAGGCCAGAGAGCAGAGUCUGUGUGGAAAGCUGCUGAUGGACUCUGGGUUCGAUGGCCUAACACGAGCUGGUGCCACACUCCGGGAGGUGACAAGGAGCUAAUUACAUGGAGGAAAGAGAGCCAGCAGAAGAGGUCAUUGCAAAGGGUAGAUUUCUUCCUGAUUAACUGCGCGGGGAGACACAACCGGAAGGAACAGUACAGGGCAGUGUUUGUGCCAUCGGAGAUAAGCACCACGUAUCUGGCGAGGCGGGGUCAAGUGUACGGUGGGAAAGGAGGCCUCACAGGGUGGCAGGAGCAGAUGCAGCGCCCUGUCCACACACACCAGAAAGCUUGAAGGGAAAGGCGGGAAGAGCCAGGAGGCUGGCCACACAUCCCCAGGUGCCAUUGACUGCUUGGGUGAACUUGGGCAUGAAACCUAACUGCUGGGGCCACCAGUCAUCAGUGGACAUGGGGCU
rnacentral:lncRNA from 1 species